UUUAUUUCACAGACUAAACUUUAGUUUACGGAAUUAACCCUGCACUCGUGCAGGCUACAGCGACCGUUCCGGCGGCUACUGGAACCACUUCCACCGUGAGCGAUGUGCUGAUGGCAUUCCGUCACUGUACUACUCGUACUUUUCCACGGCGGCACUGGCGGCGCCAUCUCUCCUCGGUUUCUUCCACCUCUCACUCAUCAAAAGUUCCCCUUCUCUGGAAGUCCGACGGCAUUGACUCCCAACAACUCGUGACUGUUCAGCUAUUAUCAUGGGGCCGCGGCGCCUCCGGCCAACUAGGUGGCGGCAUCGAAGAAAUCCGGAUAUGCCCCGCCCCGGUGGCAUCCCUAUCACUUCCCCCCUCUUUCCGGUUAUCUUCGUCGAUUCCCGGCCGUCUUCCUUCCGCGCAACCGAUUCCGCCUUCUCCGCAAAAUGCGGCGGAAAUUCCGGUGGAAGUAGGUAUUUCUUGCGGCCUAUUCCAUUCGUCGUUGCUUGUUGAUGGGAAUCUCUGGAUAUGGGGCAAAGGAGACGGGGGCCGACUCGGAUUUGGCCACGAGAAUCCAGUCUUUGUUCCCACUCUGAACCCUCUACUGGGCUCCCUCCGAAGCAUGGCACUUGGCGGCCUGCAUUCCGUUGCCCUAAACGUUCUUGGUCAGGUCUUCACUUGGGGUUACGGCGGGUUCGGGGCUCUUGGACAUUCUGUGUAUACCAGAGAGCUGGUCCCUAGAUUAGUUGAGGGCUCUUGGGAUGGAGAGAUAAGUCACAUUGCAACAAGUGGAACACACACAGCUGCUAUCACGAAAUCUGGUGAACUCUAUACUUGGGGUCGAGAUGAAGGGGAUGGACGACUAGGCUUUGGUCCUCGACGAGGGCCAAAUGAAGCUGGUGGUCUUAGCAUCCCUUCAAAAGUGGAAGCACUUCCUGUCAGAGUAGCUGCUGUUUCGUGUGGUGGAUUCUUCACAAUGGCACUGACAGAAGAUGGUGAACUCUGGAACUGGGGAGCUAACUCCAACUAUGAGCUUGGAAGAGGGGACAAAGGUAGCGGUUGGAAACCACAACCAAAUCAUAGUCUUAAAGAUGUCCGUAUAGUUCAAAUAGCUAGUGGCGGAUACCAUUCUCUUGCUUUGACUGAUAAGGGUGAAGUCUUUUCAUGGGGUCAUGGUGGCCACGGUCAGUUGGGUCAUUCUUCAAUUCAAAACCAGAAAGUUCCUGUCAGGAUUGAGGCUUUGGCUAAUGAGAGGGUAACCUUUAUAACUUGUGGCGGUUCUUCAUCGGCAGCUGUAACAGAGAAUGGGAGACUGUUCAUGUGGGGUAAUGCAAAAGAUUGUCAGCUAGGGGUUCCUGGCCUGCCAGAGAUACAAUCAUCUCCCGUUGAAGUUAAGUUUCUCAUGGAGGAUGAUGGACUGGAGAGCCAUCAUGUUCUUUCAGUAGCUAUGGGCGCUUCUCAUGCCAUGUGUCUGGUUUCUAGGUCAGGUUGUUAGAAGGUUAGGUAUCAAUUUUCGUUUGCAAUCCUCUGCUGAUCAUGCCAGAAUCUCAACCCGAUCAUCAGUUCAUCUGAAGGCCAUUGAACAUUGCAUUCUGGGAUGAAAGUUGUCAAUGACUUCAAAAUGCUGUUGCAUGUUCAGUGAGGAUUGUGAUGUUACAUUCUGAAUGUCAUAUUUGGAUAUGGAUAAUUACUAUCUCAUGCCUCAAUUUUAUUUUAUUGAUUUUUUUUUUGUACUUUGGGACUAUUCUCAUUUCAUAGUUUUUUUUCUUCCCUUGCUUGCCUUACACUGCAACAGUUAAGUGAGAUGCUGUAAAGCUAAAUUGCCAAUAAAAUUUUGCCUUUGAAGGCAUCUUUUAUAAUA